UACAGAGGUCUCAAGCGUUGUUCGGAUUCAUUGGGCGUAAAGGGUGCGUAGGCGGCGCGGUAAGUCGGGUGUGAAAUCUCGGAGCCUAACUCCGAAACUGCAUUCGAUACUGCCGUGCUUGAGGACUGGAGAGGAGAUUGGAAUUUACGGUGUAGCGGUGAAAUGCGUAGAUAAUCGUAAGGAAGACCAGUGGCGAAGGCGGGUCUCUGGACAGUUCCUGACGCUGAGGCACGAAGGUCAGGGGAGCAAACGGG
rnacentral:rRNA from 1 species